GCUUACCAUGCAGUCGAACGAUGAAGCCCAGCUUGCUGGGUGGAUUAGUGGCGAACGGGUGAGUAACACGUGAGUAACCUGCCCUUGACUCUGGGAUAAGCGUUGGAAACGACGUCUAAUACCGGAUACGAGCUUCCACCGCAUGGUGAGUUGCUGGAAAGAAUUUUGGUCAAGGAUGGACUCGCGGCCUAUCAGCUUGUUGGUGAGGUAAUGGCUCACCAAGGCGACGACGGGUAGCCGGCCUGAGAGGGUGACCGGCCACACUGGGACUGAGACACGGCCCAGACUCCUACGGGAGGCAGCAGUGGGGAAUAUUGCACAAUGGGCGAAAGCCUGAUGCAGCAACGCCGCGUGAGGGACGACGGCCUUCGGGUUGUAAACCUCUUUUAGCAGGGAAGAAGCGAAAGUGACGGUACCUGCAGAAAAAGCACCGGCUAACUACGUGCCAGCAGCCGCGGUAAUACGUAGGGUGCAAGCGUUGUCCGGAAUUAUUGGGCGUAAAGAGCUCGUAGGCGGUUUGUCGCGUCUGCUGUGAAAUCCCGAGGCUCAACCUCGGGUCUGCAGUGGGUACGGGCAGACUAGAGUGCGGUAGGGGAGAUUGGAAUUCCUGGUGUAGCGGUGGAAUGCGCAGAUAUCAGGAGGAACACCGAUGGCGAAGGCAGAUCUCUGGGCCGCUACUGACGCUGAGGAGCGAAAGGGUGGGGAGCAAACAGGCUUAGAUACCCUGGUAGUCCACCCCGUAAACGUUGGGCGCUAGAUGUGGGGACCAUUCCACGGUUUCCGUGUCGUAGCUAACGCAUUAAGCGCCCCGCCU
rnacentral:rRNA from 1 species